rnacentral:tRNA from 1 species
GUCCUUGUAGUGAAGUGGUUAACACAUUGGCCUGGAAUACGAAGACGUGGGUUCGAUUCCCGCCAAGGGCA